rnacentral:rRNA from 1 species
AUUGAACGCUGGCGGCAGGCCUAACACAUGCAAGUCGAACGGUAACAGAAAGCAGCUUGCUGCUUUGCUGACGAGUGGCGGACGGGUGAGUAAUGUCUGGGAAACUGCCUGAUGGAGGGGGAUAACUACUGGAAACGGUAGCUAAUACCGCAUAACGUCGCAAGACCAAAGAGGGGGACCUUCGGGCCUCUUGCCAUCGGAUGUGCCCAGAUGGGAUUAGCUAGUAGGUGGGGUAACGGCUCACCUAGGCGACGAUCCCUAGCUGGUCUGAGAGGAUGACCAGCCACACUGUAACUGAGACACGGUCCAGACUCCUACGGGAGGCAGCAGUGGGGAAUAUUGCACAAUGGGCGCAAGCCUGAUGCAGCCAUGCCGCGUGUAUGAAGAAGGCCUUCGGGUUGUAAAGUACUUUCAGCGGGGAGGAAGGGAGUAAAGUUAAUACCUUUGCUCAUUGACGUUACCCGCAGAAGAAGCACCGGCUAACUCCGU